CUUUGGAUGGCACAAAUGGUUAAGUGCUUGGCUCCUAACCAAAAGGUUGAUAGUUCAAAUCUAUUCAGAGG
rnacentral:tRNA from 1 species